rnacentral:lncRNA from 12 species
UAAAUUUCUCAGCAGGAAUUAGCUCAAAAAGAAAAAAAUCUUCAAUCAACUUAAGAAGGCUUCUGUAACACAGAACCUUGUGCUAUUAAAGGCAUUUCAGAGGGGAAACACAGUAUGAACUUUACAGGCAUUUUCCUGUUGCUGUGACCAGCACUGGAACGCCUCACAAACAACAUGCCUGCAAGCUGGAGGAUAGAAACCAUCCACCUGGUGUAGAGAAGAGAGAUGCUGUGAUGACAGGAAACCACAGACAUUUAUUACUUCAUCAAUCUUAGGUCAAAGACACACA